rnacentral:rRNA from 1 species
UCGAUGAAGAACGCAGCGAAAUGCGAUAAGUAAUGUGAAUUGCAGAAUUCAGUGAAUCAUCGAAUCUUUGAACGCACAUUGCGCCCGCCAGUAUUCUGGCGGGCAUGCCUGUUCGAGCGUC